UGGCGCAGCAACUUGCACAUUUAGUAAUAUUUGUGUGAAGUUAGAAGAAAGAUAUCAAGAAAUUGACGGAGCAGUAGGCCUAUUCUGUAAGUCGUUAAAAAGAUAACGAAAACCGACGUUAAGUUACCGUUAUCGAAAAUCGUCGCUUACGCUACCGACAGUCUGGGGAAGUUGGUAUUCCGUAACUACAGUUAGCGACUGUACAUCGUUACAAACUGCAUCAAACGAUGUCAGUAACAACAUCGAUGCGUUCAUAAAAGCACUAUGGAAGUUUUGUUUUUGGACCAAUGAGAAAUAGCUCAUUCCAUUGUGCUUGAAAAUUUUAACCUCAAUAUUUGUAAUGUUUGUACGUUACAAAGUUCAAGUUCGGGAUCUAUCGAUGGCAGACGUGUUUUAUUCAAAUCUUCAUUGUUUUUGGAAACGACAUAUUGCUUUCAAUACGUCCUUUUGCCAUAACUCUGCAUUUUAUCACUCAACUGGUUGCAGGAGAGUUUUUAUACAACUCUUCUUACCUAAAAUUGAGAAGAAGAAGAAGAAGAAGAACGUAUAUUACAAGUGAACCGAGUCAUACCGAUGAUAUGUGCAAAAUGUAAGCAUGCCAUAGUGGACUAUACAGUUUUAUUUUGCAGUAAAUAAACAAUUUAUACACCCUCUAAAUCUCAAACAGUAAGUCAUUAGUUUCAGUGGUAUUUUGCCGAUUCAGAUUUAUAUUCAAUGUCUUAAACCCGGUUAACUUUAUUUAGAAGUAAAGUGUCAAUCUUAGUUGAUUAAUUCGUAUCAAUGAUAAAUAUGAUUGAUCAAUUACAAUGGAAUAAUCUGUAAAUAAAAGGCCAAAGUAGAAUGACUGAAACUUGUUAGUUUAAGACAAUGUCUUAUGUUCAAAGUUUUUGUCUUGAGAUAACAUACAAUAAAUAGUUAUGUGUUACCUCAAGAUAAAAACUUUAAGAUAAGAUAUUGUCUUAAAUUCAUAAGUUUCGACCAUUUUGUUUUAGUUCAAAAUUAACCACAGGUGAAUAAAUUGGCCAUUAGAGAGCAUUUGAAUAUUUGUAAAGUCAUAGCUGAAUAAAUAACACUAUGUGUAUAUCUUAAGAUUGUAUAUCUUAAGAUUGUAUAUAUUUGUGAUAGGUCAUCAGAACCACCAGUAAAAAAAAAGAGACAAGGACGAGCAACAAAGGAGCAAUUAGAGGCAAUGGUGGGCUAUUUUGUACUUCAUCCCUAUGUCGCAACUGGCAAAUUCACUUCUUUGCAAGGGCGAGCCAACCUUGAAGGAAGUUGGGAGGAAUUAGUCAACCAACUAAAUGCAAUGUCGAAAGGUGGAAAAGAGAAAGACGUCGCUUCCUGGAAAACAACAUGGAGAGAUAAUAAAACAAAAGUAUCAGAGAAGGCCUCAAAACUACGUGCUGCUCGUGCAAUAGACCUGUUGAAAACAAUUUAACAGAAUUAGACAAAAAAAAUAUUUGGCAUAAUUGGCUACGCUUUUGCUGAAGGAGUGAAUAAUUCUGUCGACAGCUUCCCUGAAGAGCAGGGAUCAAUACGGAUAGGCUUGGCGUUCAAUUCGCGGAAGCCAGAGAAAUUUUUCAGGAGAUCGAGCAGCAGAACGCUCAAACGAUGGAUAUUGUAGCUCGAGGCAUGCAGCUGCAGGCAGAAACAGCAAGUAAACUUGCAGAUGUUGCUUUAAUGAUGGCAGAGAACGAUAAAAAGAGGAACGAGAUCUUGGGGAAGAUGAUCGAAAAUGACCGCGUACGUAAUGUGCUGUUGGAGACCCUAACCAAAA